AUUGAACGCUGGCGGCAUGCUUUACACAUGCAAGUCGAACGGCAGCGCGGGCUUCGGCCUGGCGGCGAGUGGCGAACGGGUGAGUAAUGCAUCGGAACGUGCCCAGUAGUGGGGACUGGCCCCCCGAAGGCGGGAUUAAUCCCCCAACGGACCUGAGGUUGAAACCGGGGGCCCGAAAGCCCUCGGCCAUUUGGCGCGCCCGAUGUCGGAUUAGCUAGUUGGUGGGGUAAAGGCUUACCAAGGCGACGAUCCGUAGCUGGUCUGAGAGGACGACCAGCCACACUGGGACUGAGACACGGCCCAGACUCCUACGGGAGGCAGCAGUGGGGAAUUUUGGACAAUGGGGGCAACCCUGAUCCAGCCAUGCCGCGUGCGGGAAGAAGGCCUUCGGGUUGUAAACCGCUUUUGUUCGGGAAGAAAUCCUCUGGGCUAAUACCCCGGGGGGAUGACGGUACCGGAAGAAUAAGCACCGGCUAACUACGUG
rnacentral:rRNA from 1 species